AGAGAAUAAGCCCUAGGAUCCUGCCAUGGACUACAAGUAGCCCUGGGGAGCAGAGGAAGGUCAGGGGUAAACCCAGAGGCACCCAGGCAGUGUGGAGGAUGAAUCUGACUGCUUCCUAGACAGCCUGGACAAAAGCCAGACUGGGGGGAGGAAGAGGAAAGUAGAAGAUUAGAACAAGAAGUCUGUCUUGGCCCUGAAGGAGCCUAUCCAUGUCUCAUUUACAACUUCAGCAAUAAAAUUAAUCUGGGGCCCUGUAGAUGACAGCCUCCUUCACACCAUAACCCAAAUUCAUCUCCAGAGAAGAUCAGUCUUGUGCACUAAAUGAGGCAGUGUGGAAAAAAAAAUGUGAGAAGGUAUUAGAGACUGUAUCAUAAAGCAUAAGGCGGACAAAUUGAGGUUGUAGAGACCACCUUAUUCCUAAUCUUUAAGUGCUUUACUUUGCAACCUUAAUGUUCCAAGCAAUUUGUUUGUGUGGUACUAUAUCUAAAUAAAACAGUCAAUCCAUGAAUAUUUAAGCAGCAAUGAUGGAGACCCAUGGCAUUUACUGAAGAUUAAUGGCUGACUUGGUGUCUUGAUAGUCCUUGGCUUGGCCUGGAGCUCAUUACCAUCAGUGAGGCACUGAUUAUCCAAGAAAUGCCAUUGGGAUGAGGGCAUCAUUGCUGUAAUAGGGAAAUGGGAGAACUGCAUAUGGGUGUUUUUGGGUAACUAACUAUGUUGCACAGAGGAGGAAAUGGUUCUAUUCUACAUUUCAACUUGAUGCUACAGAAACAAUUUGUCUCUGUGAAAUCCUAAAAUGAACAAAAGAUGUGAAUAAACUUAGUACAAAG